AGUGUGAAACUCAAAGGAAUUGACGGGGGCCCGCACAAGCGGUGGAGUAUGUGGUUUAAUUCGAUGCAACGCGAAGAACCUUACCAGGGUUUGACAUCCUGCGAAUCUCUUGGAAACGAGAGAGUGCCUUCGGGAACGCAGUGACAGGUGGUGCAUGGCUGUCGUCAGCUCGUGUCGUGAGAUGUUGGGUUAAGUCCCGCAACGAGCGCAACCCACGUCUUUAGUUGCCAGCAUUUAGUUGGGCACUCUAGAGAGACCGCCGGUGAUAAACCGGAGGAAGGUGUGGAUGACGUCAAGUCAUCAUGCCCCUUACAUCCUGGGCUACAC
rnacentral:rRNA from 1 species